rnacentral:rRNA from 1 species
UACGUAGGGUGCGAGCGUUAAUCGGAAUUACUGGGCGUAAAGCGUGCGCAGGCGGUUCGUUAUGUCCGAUGUGAAAGCCCCGAGCUCAACUUGGGAAUGGCAUUGGAAACUGGCGGGCUGGAGUGUGGCAGAGGGGGGUGGAAUUCCACGUGUAGCAGUGAAAUGCGUAGAGAUGUGGAGGAACACCGAUGGCGAGGGCAGCCCCCUGGGCCAACACUGACGCUCAGGCACGAAAGCGUGGGGAGCAAACAGG